AUCGAAUAAAUCACUGAUAAUUAACGUCCUCCCUGAGAUCCUUGCAAUAACAAAACAAGAAAACCAUGCACUUAUUACCGUUAAUCUAACACAAGAACAUUACAGGAAAGAUUAAAAGACGCAGAAGGAACUCGGCAAACUAUGAACCCCGCCUGUUUACCAAAAACAUCGCCUCUUGCUAAAAAACAUGUAUAAGAGGUCCAGCCUGCCCAGUGACUAUAUGUUCAACGGCCGCGGUAUUCUGACCGUGCAAAGGUAGCGUAAUCACUUGUCUUUUAAAUAAAGACUGGUAUGAACGGCACCACGAAGGUUCAACUGUCUCCUGCAUCCAAUCCAUUAAACUGACCUCCCCGUGCAGAGGCGGGGAUACAACCAUAAGACGAGAAGACCCUAUGGAGCUUUAAACUAAAGGCAACUGCCAACUUCAACCUAACCCAUAAGGAAAUAACAAUUAAACAAGCAGAAACUGACCUAAAGUUUUCGGUUGGGGCGACCACGGAGAAUAAAAAAUCCUCCUUGAAGAAUAGGGCCUACCACCCUUAAC
rnacentral:rRNA from 1 species